ensembl:lncRNA
AUUGUAGUUGACUGCAUUGACCUUUUGUAAUUUAAGUGAUAGUAUUCAUAAAUACAUUUAUUUGUGUUUCUGUAGUGAGGGAUGUCCAGAUUUUAUCACCUCCUCGUAUCACUAUUAAGAUGCCAAGAUAUGUCGAGGGCUGGGAUGGUCUUGUCCAUAAACAUCCUGUGAAAAAAUCAAUGUUUGAACCGUUCUUUAAGGAACUUCACAAGAAAUGAGAUUUUCAGCUUUCAGUGACCUGGCAAAUGUGAGAAACCUGCAGAUCACCAACUAGUGACACUCUGUGAUACUCUACAGAACUCCUCAGUCUACAAUCACUCUCUCUCUCUGCCAUUUAAACACAUUUUCUCUCCUCACGUGGGCAUAGUGUGGAAUAAUCAGUGUCAUCUUUAUAGAAGUUGCCAGAUCAUUUCCCCAAUGCAUUAGGAUGCUUUUUGCAGGUCUUACAAUCCAAAUUUGCUUUAUUGCAAUCUGUUCAAGAUUACAGGUCACAUUUUAAGAUGUAUUAAUGGACUGUUUUAUUGACUACAGGUUUAGUUUUAAAUGUAAAUAAAGUCAGAU